GACGAACCGUGCAAACGUUGUUCGGAAUCACUGGGCUUAAAGGGCGCGUAGGCGGGGCUGCAAGUCAGGGGUGAAAGCCCACGGCUCAACCGUGGAAGUGCCUUUGAUACUGUGGCUCUUGAGGGAGGUAGGGGCGUGCGGAACUUCCGGUGGAGCGGUGAAAUGCGUAGAUAUCGGAAGGAACACCGGUGGCGAAAGCGGCGCGCUGGACCUCUUCUGACGCUGAGGCGCGAAAGCCAGGGGAGCAAACGGG
rnacentral:rRNA from 1 species